CCUUUGCGAGAAUAGAAAAACUUAUAAGUUAAAAGUUAGUCGAUUACUGAGGUUCCAGAUCGGAUUAAGUUAAAGGUGAAGAGAUUGACACCAUGGAUGGUCAGCUUGGUAUAAGCAAACUCCUUAGUAUAAUUAGUCCCUGGAAAAUGAAUGUACGGUUUAACAAGUUUAUCCUUAAGAUUGACUCUUUCAGAUUAAAC
rnacentral:lncRNA from 1 species